rnacentral:sRNA from 1 species
GCUGGGCGCGUUGGCACACACCUGUCAUCCCAGCAGCUCCGGAGGCUGAGACAGGAGGAUUGAGAGUUCAAAGCCAGCCUCAGCCACAGCAAGGUGCUAAGCAACUCAGUGAGACUCUGUCUCUA